UUAGCAGUAUCUGCACAAAAAAGAAUUAGGAGACUGUCAGGCCUCUGAGCCCAAGCCAAGCCAUCGCAUCCCCUGUGACCUGCACGUAUACGCCCAGAUGGCCUGAAGUAACUAAAGAAUCACAAAAGAAGUGAAUAUGCCCUGCCCCACCUUAACUGAUGACACUCCACCACAAAAGAAGUGUAAAUGACCGGUCCUUGCCUUAACUGAUGACAUUACCUUGUAAAAGUCCUUUUCCUGGCUCAUCCUGGCUCAAAAAGCACCCCCACUGAGCACCUUGUGACCCCCACUCCUGCCCACUGAGCAACUUACGACCCCCACUCCUAUCCGCCAGAGAACAAACCCCCUUUGACUGUAAUUUUCCUUUACCUACCCAAAUCCUAUAAAACGGCCCCACCCUUAUCUCCCUUCCUGACUCUCUUUUCGGCCUCAGCCUGCCUGCACCCAGGUGAAAUAAACAGCCAUGUUGCUCACACAAAGCCUGUUUGGUGGUCUCUUCACACGGACGCGCGUGAAAUUUGGUGCCGUGACUCGGAUCGGGGGACCUCCCUUGGGAGAUCAAUCCCCUGUCCUCCUGCUCUUUGCUCCGUGAGAAACAUCCACCUACGACCUCAGGUCCUCAGACCGACCAGCUCAAGAAACAUCUCACCAAUUUCAAAUCCGAUCUUCUCGGCUUAGCAGCUGAAGACUGACACUGCCCGAUCGCCUCAGAAGCCCCCUAGACCAUCACGGACGCCGAGCUUCCAGUAACUCUCACAGUGGAAGGUAAGUCCGUCCCCUUCUUAAUCAAUAUGGAGGCUACCCACUCCACAUUACCUUCUUUUCAAGGGCCUGUUUCCCUUGCCUCCAUAACUGUUGUGGGUAUUGACGGCCAGGCUUCUAAACCUCUUAAAACUCCCCAACUCUGGUGCCAACUUAGACAAUACUCUUUUAAGCACUCCUUUUUAGUUAUCCCCACCUGCCCAGUUCCCUUAUUAGGCUGAGACACUUUAACUAAAUUAUCUGCUUCCCUGACUAUCCUGGACUACAGCUAUAUCUCAUUGCUGCCCUUCUUCCCAAUCCAAAGCUUCCUUUGCGUCCUCCUCUUGUAUCCCCCUACCAUAACCCACAAGUAUAAGAUACCUCUACUCCCUCCUUGGCGACCGAUCAUGCACCCCUUACCAUCUCAUUAAAACCUAAUCACCCUUACCCCACUCAAUGCCAAAAUCCCAUCCCGCAGCACACUUUAAAAAGAUUAAAGCCUGUUAUCACUCACCUGCUACAGCAUGGCCUUUUAAAGCCUAUAAACUCUCCUUACAAUUCCCCCAUUUUACCUGUCCUAAAACCAGACAAGCCUUACAAGUUAGUUCAGGAUCUGUGCCUUAUCAACCAAAUUGUUUUGCCUAUCCACCCCGUGGUGCCAAACCCAUAUACUCUCCUAUCCUCCAUACCUGCCUCUACAACCCAUUAUUCUGUUCUACAUCUCAAACAUGCUUUCUUUACUAUUCCUUUGCACCCUUAAUCCCAGCCUCUCUUCGCUUUCACUUGGACUGACCCUGACACCCAUCAAGCUCAGCAAAUUACCUAGGCUGUACUGCCGCAAAGCUUCACAGACAGCCCCCAUUACUUCAAUCAAGCCCAAAUUUCUUCCUCAACUGUUACCUAUCUCGGCAUAAUUCUCAUAAAAACACACGUGCUCUCCCUGCCAAUCGUGUCUGACUGAUCUCUCAAACCCCAGCACCUUCUAAAAAACAACUCCUUUCCUUCCUAGCCAUGGUUAGGGCAGUCAGAAUUCUUACACAAGAGCCAGGACCACACCCUGUAGCCUUCUGUCCAAACAACUUGACCUUACUGUUUUAGCCUAGCCCUCAUGUCUGCGUGCGGUGGCUGCCACUGCAUUAAUACUUUUAGAGGCCCUCAAAAUCACAAACUAUGCUCAACGCACUCUCUACAGUUCUCAUAACUUCCAAAAUCUAUUUUCUUCCUCAUACCUGACACAUAUACUUUCUGCUUCCCGGCUCCUUCAGCUAUACUCACUCUGUUGAGUCUCCCACAAUUACCGUUGUUCCUGGCCCAGACUUCAGUCCAGCCUCCCACAUUAUUCCUGAUACCACACCUGACCCCCAUGACUGUAUCUCUCUGAUCCACCUGACAUUAACCCCAUUUCCCCAAAUUUCCUUCUUUCCUGUUCCUCACCCUGAUCACGCUUGAUUUAUUGAUGGCAGUUCCACCAGGCCUAAUCGCCACAUACCAGCAAAGGCAGGCUAUGCUAUAGUACAAGCCACUAGCCCGCCUCUCAGAACCUCUCAUUUCCUUUCCAUCGUGGAAAUCUAUCCUCAAGGAAAUAACUUCUCAGUAUUCCAUCUGCUAUUCUACUACUCCUCAAGGAUUAUUCAGGCCCCCUCCCUUCCCUACACAUCAAGCUCGAGGAUUUGCCCCCACCCAGGACUGGCAAAUUAGCUUUACUCAACAUGCCUGAGUCACGAAACUAAAAUACCUCUUAGUCUAAAUAGACACUUUCACUGAAUAAGUAAAGGCCUUUCCUACAGGGUCUGAGAAGGCCUCCGCAGUCAUUUUUUCUGUUCUGUCAGACAUAAUUCCUCAGUUUAGCCUUCCCACCUCAAUACAGUCUGAUAACAGAUGAGCCUUUAUUAGUCAAAUCAGCCAAGCAGUUUUUCAGGCUCUUAGUAUUCAGUGAAACCUUUAUAUCCCUUACAGUCCUCCAUCUUCAAGAAAGGUAGAAUGGACUGAAGGUCUUUUAAAAACACACCUCACCAAGCUCAGCCAUCAAAAAGGACUGGACAAUAUUUUUAUCACUUUCCCUUCUCAGAAUUCAGGUCUGUCCUCGGAAUGCUACAAGGUACAGCCCAUUUAAGCUCCUGUAUAGAUGCUCCUUUUUAUUAGGCCCCAGUCUUAUUCCAGACACUGGACCAACUUAGACUGCGCCCCCAAAAAAGCUUGUCAUCCCUACUAUUUUCUGUCUAGUCAUACUCCUCCGUUCUCAACUACUCAUACAUGCCCUGCUCUUGUUUACACUGCCAGUUUACACUGUUUAUCCAAGCCAUCACAGCUGAUAUCUCCUCGUGCUAUCCCCAUACCGCCACUCUUAACUCUUGAAGUAAAUGAAUAAUCUUUGCUGGCAGGACUAUGCUGAAUCUCCUUAGGCACUCUCUAAUCAGAUGUCCUAGGUCCUCCCAAUUCUUAGACCUUUUAUACCUGUUUUUCUCCUUCUUAUUCCAUUUAGUUUUUCAGUUCAUACAAAACCAUAUCCAGGCCAUCACCAAUCAUUCUAUACAACAAAUGUUUCUUCUAACAACCCCACAAUAUCACCCCUUACCACAAGAUCUCCUUUCAGCUUAAUCUCUCCCACUCUAGGUUCCCACGCCGCCCCUAAUCCCUCUUGAAGCAGGCCUGAGGAACAUCGUCCACUCUCUCUCCAUACCACCCCCCAAAAAUUUUCGCCGCCCCAACACUUCAACACUAUUUUGUUUUAUUUUUCUUAUUAAGAAGGCAGGAAUGUCAGGCCUCUGAGCCCAAGCCAAGCCAUCACAUCCCCUGUGACCUGCACAUAUACGCCCAGAUGGCCUGAAGUAACUAAAGAAUCACAAAAGAAGUGAAUAUGCCCUGCCCCACCUUAACUGAUGACAUUCCACCACAAAAGAAGUGUAAAUGGCCGGUCCUUGCCUUAACUGAUGACAUUACCUUGUGAAAGUCCUUUUCCUGGCUCAUCCUGGCUCAAAAAGCACCCCCACUGAGCACCUUGCGACCCCCACUCCUGCCCACUGAGCACCUUGCGACCCCCACUCCUAUCCGCCAGAGAACAAACCCCCUUUGACUGUAAUUUUCCUUUACCUACCCAAAUCCUAUAAAACGGCCCCACCCUUAUCUCCCUUCCCUGACUCUCUUUUCGGCCUCAGCCUGCCUGCACCCAGGUGAAAUAAACAGCCAUGUUGCUCACACAAAGCCUGUUUGGUGGUCUCUUCACAUGGACGCGCAUGAAAGAGACUUUACCAGUGAAAAUUUUAAAAUAGUCUGAAAUCACCCCAACAACAGCAAAUCCAAAAAGAACAACCAUUCUUUUUCUUUUCAAAUUACACAUCUCUCAAGUGGCAUUUUGUACAUUCUUUUUUUCUUUAAAGCUAUCCUUGAAAACAAGAGUUAUUUAGUAACCAUUUGAGCAAACGCGGUCUAUUUUUCUCUGAUCACACCAGUCUGCAGGGGGAUGGGGGAGGGGAGGCAGUCACAAAACCAGCAUUUUACUGGAUUUUACUGACUUUCUAUUAGCAAAAACAGUUUUCUUCAAAUUCUACCACACAGUUGAGAUUUCCCAAGGAGUGCCUAAUGAAUUUGCCAUAAACCAACCUUCCAGAUUACCAUUUUGCCUCCUCUUCUGCCUCAGCUAAUUCUGAUGACCAUCACUAUAUUCUUCAAAAAAGAAAUUUGAACUGUAAAGCCAAAGCACACAGAAGGCUUUGCUGCCAGCGUUGGCCGUCAUCCAGGGCCUGUCUCAAAGCAGCCUGUCUCUUGUUCCCUGCCUUCUGAAUAUGACAUGCUGAUGCUGCUCACUGGUGGUGCUACCAGAAAUACUAUUGCAGAUGGCCACUGAAGGUGCCACCACUGGGACCAGUGCCUGCCAAUUUCUACAUUUCAACAGCCACUGACAGAUAUCUAGGUCCUGCAUAGCUGUCUGUACUUCUGGCACCAUUUCUCAUGCUUGCCAGUACAAUGGUACCACCCCUCCUUGCCUUUAUAACUGCUGACACCAACAUUUCUGAUGCUCCAUGCUCUCAAUAUUUUGUGCAGGUUUGAAAGAAGAGGCAUUUUUAGUUUUCAUCCACUCUUUUAUUAUUAGCCUUUUUGCCCAAGAAUCAAGGCAUGAAUUUGUAAGGGCCAACUGGAGAACAACUUGAGUGACCAAUACCAAGUUGUACUCAAAUUUGCCUUCUAGCAGGAAACUGCUGCUUUUGAAACAGACUGUGCACUUUUACUUUUUCUUCCUGUAGGAUAUGUGUUUCUUGGUUUUCAUCUAAACAAGGUCUUUGAACAGCCAACCUACAAGAAUGUCAGCUAUAGCCAUGUAUUCCUCAAUGCUAGGCAGAACGCAAAAGAGAUUCAAAUUGGGACUUUUGAUAAACAUCAUUCAAAUAAUUGCAACAACAUAACACAUGUCACAUUGGAGCCCAUUGGUGUGAGGGCUAGAGUGAUCAACUUUUUUGAAGAGAGUUUAAUGUCAUGGAGAAUUAAAAAUAAACAUAAACACUAAUGCACAGUCUUUUUUAUUUGAAUGAAUAACUAAGGUUUUGUUUGUUAUCCUGGAAAAUAAAAAGGGGAAAGUAAGCUGUUUUUCUAAAAAAAUUGUUUUGAUUUUUCUUCCCUUUGAAAAACAGAGCUGGAAGUACCACUAAUGUCAGAGUUCCAAAAGGGUGUUUUGCCUCAAAUGUGAACCAUGAAACUAAGGUAAAAUUGUACCAAUUGUACUGGUCAAUAUAAUCUAAGCAAAAAAAUCUGAUUUAAUGAAGAUAACUAUAGGAACAUCUAUAAACUAGAUUUUUCUCUUCUGCCUGGGUCUUAGGAGGAAACAACAGUGGGAAACAAGCCUCCUCCCAUAAGUGAAGUGACAGCCUUUGGGAUUAGGGACUAGGAAGCAACUGGAUCUGUUCUGAUCCAUGGAAAAUGAUUUGGGUGAGAGUUGGAGAAUAUUGCCCAAUCAGAGAGCUGGAAACAGAGACUGUUAAAUUUGGUCAUCAUGUAUAAAUAACCCAUCUAGCUUUAGAUUUACUGCCACUUCAGGGCAAGAGCUAGCAUCAAAACUAAGUCAUAUUCCAGGAGAAGACAUGAACAUAAACCUAGCCAAAAGUUACAUACAUCCUGAUAAUAAAAUUAUCUGAAAAUUGAAUGUAUAUUAUGACAUGGGUGGGAGAAUGAGCAGGAAGGAUAGUAGGUAUGGUGUCUCUUCCAUCUUUGUCUAUAAGAAUAAAAUAAAGAGAUCUCAUUUGUUUGAGGUACCAGAUUCUCUAUAAGUUGGAAGAAAUUUAAAAAGAUUUUCUGUAAAAUGUCAAGCUAGUCCAGGAUAUAUACUACAAAACUUUCUUUUGCCAAUUCCUCUCCAAAUCCUAAAGAUGCAAUCAAACAUCCACACAUAGUCAUGAUGUUUAUAAAUAAAUAUUCCGUGAAAUAAUUUUUUUUUUUUUUUGAGACAGGGUCUCGGUCUGUCACCCAGGCUGGAGUGCAGUGGCGCAAUCUCGGCUCACUCCAAGUUCCGCCUCCCAGGUUCACGCCAUUCUCCUGCCUCAGCCUCCUGAGUAGCUGGGACUACAGGCGCCCGCCACCAUGCCUGGCUAAUUUUUUGUAUUUUUAUUAGAGACGGGGUUUCACCAUGUUAGCCAGGAUGGUCUCCAUCUCCUGACCUCGUGAUCCACCCGCCUCGGCCUCUCAAAGUGCUGGGAUUACAGGCGUGAGCCACCGCGCCCGGCAAUGAAAUAAUUUUUAAGCUUCCUUUGCUAUAAGAAUAUUUGUCUACAAAUAUAAAAAGUAUCCACUUGAAUUUCCCAAGAUAGCCUUUUCAAAUGACUCGAAUCAUCUAUUUCAUCCCCAGCAGCUCCUGUGUUCUAAAGCAAGCAAUGCUUUUAGUGAAAUGUUUAAUGUUUCUUGUAGUUAGCAUAUCAGUUAAUGAUAAUAAUUAGUGAUGCAAUAGAGUUUUAGUUUAUAUGUCCUGUUUGCAUUUUAUAGUAUGUUAGGGUCUGCUGUAAAGAUCCAUUAGCAUAAUAUAUUCCAUUUUAGAGGGUUUUAUAUGAGAUAUUUGUGCCAUGGUGUUAAGGUCUACUGGCCUAUGAUCAGGAGAUUAGAAUUCUGGCCUCAGAUUUGUCUCUGGACACAUGAAAUACACAAGACAAGUCUCUUCAACCCUUGGAGCCUCAGUUUUGUUAUAUGAAAAAUGAGAAGUUGGGUUAGAAAGUCUCUUUUGGUCUGAAAUAUUUAUCUUUCUUAGAUCAUAAUUUUUAUAUUAAAUUUUAAAUUUAGCUUUUCCAUUACAACUAACUCUUAAUGUCAUUUUCUUCUUUUUGUGCCUGGUAAAGAAGCAAAUUGACAGUUCUUGCAUCAAGAAGUGUCCCUAAUGGCCUCUUUGUAUAAAGUAUUCAUUAGGCCCACCGUCCUUUCCUGGUUGUGGUUAUCUCUUAUCCUAAAUGAUGAAACAGGGUCUCGGGGAGUAAUAACCUUACUCAAACUUAUAGUGCCAGGCUAGGAUUUGAAAACAGGUCUGCAUAACCUUGAAAUCCUUGUUUUUUUUUCUACUAAAACACCAAUUUAUUAGUCACAUCUGUGACUUAUUUUUGUCCAAAUACUGAAUCUGAAUGCAAUCCUCAAUUGCAUCAUUGUUUCUGAGUAAAGCUACUAAAGUUUUAUAACUAAACACUUCGCAACCCAACUCCAGGGAAAGCUUUGGAGUGAAAAGCAGCAAGUACUUAUUAGAGCAAACAUCCUGGGUGAUACGUCAACAAUAAUGCAAACAGAAAGUCAAUGCUGUGCAUAGCAAUCAAAACCAUACAUUUUCAUAGCUAAUUGGCAAUCUAAAUUAAGAAUGGCCUGUAGAAAUAUAAUGUGAUCAAGUCUUAAAACAUCAAUCCAUGUGUGCUUUCUUUCUUCCAUGUGUAUUUUGAGCCUGCCUUCAAGCAGUCGGAACCAUCCACAAGGCACUGAGGAGAAGGAUUGUUAGACAAAAAGAGAAACCAUGGAUAUUCUGUAUUUUGACAUAUAAAUUAAGUUGUUUGGAAUCAAACCUUGUAGAGAGUGGAACAUGGGGACUACUCGUGCCCUGAACAAAACAAAUGACAGUCAGAAACAUGGCACCCUUCCCUCUUUCAGCUAGAGUGCAAGAGGAAAUUGAAAUAAUACUAAUAAUAAAGGAGCUGGUGGAAAGAA